CAGAAUUAGGGUAGGGAGUGGAGGGAGGAGUCCGGAGAGGGAGGCUGUGGCCAGGCUGUGGAGGAUCAUGGUUUGGCCCCCUGUCCGAUUUGUUAAGAGUUUGAGCUUUGUAUUCAAAGACCAAAUGAUCUCAGGAGAGCUGGGGAGGAAGCUCUGGGCCACCUGAGCUUUUGGGGUGUGGCCUUGAAGCCCAUAUACUUUGGACACAAGCCCGGGAGCCAGCACAAGUGCACUUCACUCCCUAUCCACGUGGCCAACACCACUUCCUUUCCCACUCUCGUUUGCUAGGAGGCCAUGUUGCUGGGAGCAAGAGGAUUGCUGUCAUUGCUUUGUCUCCUGGCAGAAUCUUCUCUCACUCCCGACAUUGGUGCGCUUCCUGGAGCAGCAGAACAAAGUCUUGGAGACCAAGCGGGAGCUGCUCCAGACCACAGCCUCUGGUUGCAGCCCCCACAGCCUGGAGCCUCUCUUUGAAUCUUACAUCAGUUUCCUGUGCAAGCAGCUGGACUCCCUUCUGCGGGAGAGAGGGAGUCUGGAGGGAGAGUU
rnacentral:lncRNA from 1 species